CCUACGGGAGGCAGCAGUGAGGAAUAUUGGUCAAUGGACGAGAGUCUGAACCAGCCAAGUAGCGUGAAGGAUGCCUGCCCUAUGGGUUGUAAACUUCUUUUAUAUGGGAAUAACAUGUUCCACGUGUGGGAUUUUGUAUGUACCAUAUGAAUAAGGAUCGGCUAACUCCGUGCCAGCAGCCCCGGUAAUACGGAGGAUUCGAGCGUUAUCCGGAUUUAUUGGGUUUAAAGGGAGCGUAGGUGGAUUGUUAAGUCAGUUGUGAAAGUUUGCGGCUCAACCGUAAAAUUGCAGUUGAAACUGGCAGUCUUGUGUACAGUAGAGGUGGGCGGAAUUCGUGGUGUAGCGGUGAAAUGCUUAGAGAUCACGAAGAACUCCGAUGGCGAAGGCAGUUCACUGGACUGCAACUGACACUGAGGCUCGAAAGUGUGGGGAUCAAACAGGAUUAGAUACCCCAGUAGUC
rnacentral:rRNA from 1 species